rnacentral:rRNA from 1 species
CGGUAACACGUAUGUAACCUACCUUUACCAGGGGAUAGCCUCUCGAAAGAGAGAUUAAGCCCGCAUAAUAUGAAGGCACAGCAUUGUGCUUUCAUCAAAUAUUUAUAGGGUAAAGAUGGGCAUGCGGAACAUUAGCUAGUUGGUAAGGUAAUGGCUUACCAAGGCUACGAUGUUUAGGGGAUCUGAGAGGAUGACCCCCCACACUGGUACUGAGACACGGACUAG